UCUCCGUAGGUGAACCUGCGGAGGGAUCAUUACUGAGUGAGGGCUCACGCCCGACCUCCAACCCUUUGUGAACCAAACUUGUUGCUUCGGGGGCGACCCUGCCGUCCGCGGCUGAGCGCCCCCGAAGGCCUCCAAACACUGCAUUCUCUGCGUCGGAGUAUUAGUAAAUCUAAUCAAAACUUUCAACAACGGAUCUCUUGGUUCGGGCAUCGAUGAAGAACGCAGC
rnacentral:misc_RNA from 1 species